rnacentral:rRNA from 1 species
CACGUUUUUUCCUGUCCCCCUAGAUUUUUAACCGGGGUCUCGAUAAUUUUUACCGGGGCGCCCAAAUUUUUUAUGGGGGACCCACAAAUUUUUAAGGGGGAACUUCGGGAAACCGGAGCUAAUACCGGAUAAUAUUUCGAACCGCAUGGUUCGAUAGUGAAAGAUGGUUUUGCUAUCACUUAUAGAUGGACCCGCGCCGUAUUAGCUAGUUGGUAAGGUAACGGCUUACCAAGGCGACGAUACGUAGCCGACCUGAGAGGGUGAUCGGCCACACUGGAACUGAAACACGGUCCAAACUCCUACGGGAGGCAGCAGUAGGGAAUCUUCCGCAAUGGGCGAAAGCCUGACGGAGCAACGCCGCGUGAGUGAUGAAGGUCUUCGGAUCGUAAAACUCUGUUAUUAGGGAAGAACAUACGUGUAAGUAACUAUGCACGUCUUGACGGUACCUAAUCAGAAAGCCACGGCUAACUACGUGCCAGCAGCCGCGGUAAUACGUAGGUGGCAAGCGUUAUCCGGAAUUAUUGGGCGUAAAGCGCGCGUAGGCGGUUUUUUAAGUCUGAUGUGAAAGCCCACGGCUCAACCGUGGAGGGUCAUUGGGAAACUGUAAAAUUGAGUGCAGAAGAGGAAAGUGGAAUUCCAUGUGUAGCGGUGAAAUGCCGCAGAGAUAUGGAGGAACACCAGUGGCGAAA